CUACGACGUUGAUAGGUUGGGUGUGUAAGUGCUGUGAGGCAUUGAGCUAACCAAUACUAAUUGCUCGUGAGGCUUGACCAUAUAACACCAAAGUAGUU
rnacentral:rRNA from 1 species